rnacentral:tRNA from 1 species
GGUUAUAGCUCAAUGGUAGAGCACUUGCCUCCACGCACGAGGCCCUGGGUUCGAGCCUAAGCACCA